UCCCCUGUAGCUCAAUGGUAGAGCGAGUUCCUGUUAAGAACGAGGUUGUAGGUUCGAAUCCUACCGGGGGAG
rnacentral:tRNA from 1 species